ACUUUACUAUCAUUGGAUAUUUGCAAUUUAAUUUUGAUUCAUAUUCAUUCAGAGUAUUAAUGACAAUUCAUUAGAAUACAUCAAUUUACCCGCUGCUAAAAAUCGCGUACGUAAAAUAAUAUUAGCAACACCGCUAACGAUAAAAACAAACACAUUCUACGCAAUAUUUAAAACAAAUAGUAACACAAUACCAAAAACUGCUAAAUGUAUUUAAUUAAAUAUAUAAAUUAAUUGUUUAAAAUGUGUUUCUGUAAAAUUUUCUGUAAAAAACAAAGGAAGCAAUCAUUUUUUGCAAAAAAAAAAAACAAACAAAUAAAAUUCGUAAGAAAGAAGAUUCGACACAACCUAUUAAUAUGAAGGAAAAAAACAAUACUGCAGAAAACUUACGACUUGAAUAAAAAAAACUUUCAAGACAAACUGGCAAGGAUAACAGCAGAAAAAGUAACCGAAGCACAACAAAGUGGAGAAUCUGAAGAUCAACCUGCUGUGUCAAAUCCUGCAAUUGAAACCAUACAAAUAAAGGAAAUUGAUGCAACAAUCAUCGAAGUUAUAAAUUCUCCUGAAAGGAACUCCAGAUAGAUGUAUGAAAAACUUUGAAAAAGAUAUAGUGCUAUUAAAGGAAAUAAAAGGAAUAGUGUAUGAUAGCGUAUUAGGGUCGACAUUCAAGGCAUCCCGUUUGGCCUGAAGACUUUGUUAUUUAUUUCAUACAAUAAAUGGAUGCCAUUUUAACAUGUACCUUUUCCGGGCAACCUUCAAAGACACAAGGGGAUGAUAUGAGAAACAACAAAUACGGCACAUUGAAUGGUGAUGCUCGGAAAGCGUUAACAGAUUUCUGCCGAAUAUGCUCAAAAACAUGAAUGAACCCCUAAACUCCGCAUGAUGUUAAUCAAACUAACACCCAAUUUACACGAUGAUUUUUUUUCAUGUUUGCCCAGACGUCUGUUUUCAUGUUUGUCGAUGAUUGGUGGUGAGCGGGGUAGAGAAGA